AAAUUGAAGAGUUUGAUCAUGGCUCAGAUUGAACGCUGGCGGCAGGCCUAACACAUGCAAGUCGAGCGGUAGCACAGAGAGCUUGCUCUCGGGUGACGAGCGGCGGACGGGUGAGUAAUGUCUGGGAAACUGCCUGAUGGAGGGGGAUAACUACUGGAAACGGUAGCUAAUACCGCAUAAUGUCGCAAGACCAAAGUGGGGGACCUUCUGGCCUCAUGCCAUCAGAUGUGCCCAGAUGGGAUUAGCUAGUAGGUGGGGUAACGGCUCACCUAGGCGACGAUCCCUAGCUGGUCUGAGAGGAUGACCAGCCACACUGGAACUGAGACACGGUCCAGACUCCUACGGGAGGCAGCAGUGGGGAAUAUUGCACAAUGGGCGCAAGCCUGAUGCAGCCAUGCCGCGUGUGUGAAGAAGGCCUUCGGGUUGUAAAGCACUUUCAGCGGGGAGGAAGGCGUUAAGGUUAAUAACCUUG
rnacentral:rRNA from 1 species